rnacentral:tRNA from 1 species
UUCCCUGUGGCUCAGUUGGUAGAGCAUGGUGUUUGCAACGCCAGGGUUGUGGGUUCGAUUCCCACAGGGGGAC